GAUGAACGCUGGCGGCGUGCCUAAUACAUGCAAGUCGAGCGAACAGACGAGGAGCUUGCUCCUCUGACGUUGCGGCGGACGGGUGAGUAACACGUGGAUAACCUACCUAUAAGACUGGGAUAACUUCGGGAAACCGGAGCUAAUACCGGAUAAUAUAUUGAACCGCAUGGUUCAAUAGUGAAAGACGGUUUUGCUGUCACUUAUAGAUGGAUCCGCGCCGCAUUAGCUAGUUGGUAAGGUAACGGCUUACCAAGGCGACGAUGCGUAGCCGACCUGAGAGGGUGAUCGGCCACACUGGAACUGAGACACGGUCCAGACUCCUACGGGAGGCAGCAGUAGGGAAUCUUCCGCAAUGGGCGAAAGCCUGACGGAGCAACGCCGCGUGAGUGAUGAAGGUCUUCGGAUCGUAAAACUCUGUUAUUAGGGAAGAACAAAUGUGUAAGUAACUAUGCACGUCUUGACGGUACCUAAUCAGAAAGCCACGGCUAACUACGUG
rnacentral:rRNA from 1 species